rnacentral:tRNA from 1 species
AUUUAUAAUAGUUUAUAAAAAACAUUUCAUUUUCACUGAAAAAAAAUUAAAUUACUUAAUUUAUAAACACAUUUAUUU